rnacentral:lncRNA from 1 species
UAUAAACUUUUUCAAUUUUGUAAAGAUUUUGACCACAUCUUCAUAAUUAGUCACAGUUUCCUCAAAAACUCUAUAUAAACACAAGAUGAGUUUUAUGCCCUUUUUCAAAAAAAAACACACACAAGAUGAGCCAUUUCGAUUGGAGUUACAGGCUCCAUCCAAAAACACCAGAUUGUUUAUAGUUUCUAUUGCUUUUUUUAGUUUUUUUUUUAGUUUUUAGUUUAUUUAUGCAAUUCAGACUUUCUUGUAUUGUGAUUUUUUGUUGAUGAAUGAGUUUUUUUUUUGCUUGGGGAAGGGUUUAAAAUGAAAAUUUUAUGGUUUGGUAUAUAGAUUAAAAAGAAAAAAAUUUGGUAUAUAGAUUUGAUUUCUAAAAUGGCGAUAAUUUCUUUAUUGAUAUUUGGAUAAAUUUAUUUUUUACUGAGUAAAAGGUUUCAAAAUAGAAUUGGUUUCUAAAGUGGCGAUGAUUUCCUUGUUGAUGUUUGAGUAAUUUUUUGGGUUAGGUGAAGGGUUUAUAAAUGGAGUUUGUUUAUAGUUUGAUACAUAGAUUUGAUUUCUACAAACAUCAAAUCGAUCGUCUGUUAAUUUAUGAACCUAAUACAUGAUGUUACACUGUACAAUUUGUUCUGAUAUAUGAAAACCUAUCGUUUGAAUAUUAUUUGGCUGAUUCGUCAAAAUUAAAUUCGGCAAGCUGU